CAGCACCUCAAGUGGUCAGGAUGAUUAUUGGGCCUAAAGCAUCCGUAGCCGGCUCUGUAAGUUUUCGGUUAAAUCUGUAUGCUCGACAUACAGGCUGCCGGGAAUACUGCAGAGCUAGGGAGUGGGAGAGGUAGACGGUACUCGGUAGGAAGGGGUAAAAUCCUUUGAUCUAUUGAUGACCACCUGUGGCGAAGGCGGUCUACCAGAACACGUCCGACGGUGAGGGAUGAAAGCUGGGGGAGCAAACCGGAUUAGAUACCCGAGUAGUCC
rnacentral:rRNA from 1 species